rnacentral:rRNA from 1 species
AUUGAACGCUGGCGGCAGGCCUAACACAUGCAAGUCGAGCGGAGCGGCGGACGGGUGCGUAAUGCCUAGGAAUCUGCCUGGUAGUGGGGGAUAACGUCCGGCAACGGGCGCUAAUACCGCAUACUAUCAGAUGAGGCUAGGUCGGAUUAGCUAGUUGGUGGGGUAAUGGCUCACCUAGGCGACGAUCCCUAGCUGGUCUGAGAGGAUGACCAGCCACACUGGAACUGAGACACGGCCCAGACUCCUACGGGAGGCAGCAGUAGGGAAUAUUGCGCAAUGGGCGCAAGCCUGAUGCAGCCAUGCCGCGUGUGUGAAGAAGGCCUUCGGGUUGUAAAGCACUGUCAGCGGGGAGGCGUUACUCGCAGAAGAAGCAACGGCUAACUCCGUGCCAGCAGCCGCGGUAAUUC